UCUCCUGUAGCUCAGUGGUAAAGCGUCCGACAGGUCUGCGGAAGGUGAUAGGUUCGACUCCAGUGUUGGGAGAA